UACUAUAGCUUGACACUGAAUUCUAAAUUUUGAUGUGUAGGAUAGGUGGGAGGCUGUGAAUCUAAAACGCCAGUUUUAGUGGAGCCACACUUGAAAUACCACCCUUUAAAAUUCGGUAUUCUAACCUAGUGCCGUAAUCCGGUACAGAGACAGUGUCUGGUAGGUAGUUUGACUGGGGCGGUCUCCUCCCAAAGAGUAACGGAGGAGUACGAAGAUUGGCUAAUUACGGUCGGACAUCGUAAGGUUAGUGCAAAGGCAUAAGCCAGUUUAACUGUGAGCGUGAUAACGCGAGCAGAUGCGAAAGCAGGUCUUAGUGAUCCGGUGGUUCUGUAUGGAAAGGCCAUCGCUCAACGGAUAAAAGGUACUCCGGGGAUAACAGGCUGAUAC
rnacentral:rRNA from 2 species